ACUCCUACGGGAGGCAGCAGUGGGGAAUAUUGCACAAUGGGGAAACCCUGAUGCAGCCAUGCCGCGUGUGUGAAGAAGGCCUUCGGUUGUAAAGCACUUUCAGUAGGGAGGAAGGUAGUGUAGUUAACACCUGCAUUAUUUGACGUUACCUACAGAAGAAGCACCGGCUAACUCCGUGCCAGCAGCCGCGGUAAUACGGAGGGUGCGAGCGUUAAUCGGAAUUACUGGGCGUAAAGCGCAUGCAGGCGGCCUGUUAAGUCAGAUGUGAAAGCCCGGGGGCUUAACCUCGGAAUUGCAUUUGAAACUGGCAGGCUAGAGUCUUGUAGAGGGGGUAGGAAUUUCAGGUGUAGCGGUGAAAUGCGUAGAGAUCUGAAGGAAUACCAGU
rnacentral:rRNA from 1 species